rnacentral:rRNA from 1 species
AUUGAACGCUGGCGGCAAGCCUAACACAUGCAAGUCGAACGAGUGGCGGACGGGUGAGUAAUGUCUGGGAAACUGCCUGAUGGAGGGGGAUAACUACUGGAAACGGUAGCUAAUACCGCAUACCAUCGGAUGUGCCCAGAUGGGAUUAGCUAGUAGGGGGGGUAAAGGCUCACCUAGGCGACGAUCCCUAGCUGGUCUGAGAGGAUGACCAGCGAGACGGGAACGGAGUCACGGUCCAGAAUCCGACGGGAGGCAGCAGUGUGGAAUAUUGCACAAUGGGCGCGAGCCUGAUGCAGCCGUGCCGCGUGUAUGAAGAAGGCCUUCGGGUUGUAAAGUACUUUCAGCGGGGAGGCGUUACCCGCAGAAGGAGCACCGGCUAGCUCCGUGCCAGCCGCCGCGGUAAUAG